CCGAGAUGAGUUCUCCCUGAGACUUUAAGUCUCCUGAAGGAACGUUGAAGACGACGACGUUGAUAGGCCGGGUGUGUAAGCGCAGCGAUGCGUUGAGCUAACCGGUACUAAUGAACCGUGAGGCUUAACCUU
rnacentral:rRNA from 1 species